rnacentral:tRNA from 1 species
AGACGCUACGGACUUAAAAUCCGUCGAUUUUAGAAAUCGUGAGGGUUCAAGUCCCUCUAUCCCCA